rnacentral:rRNA from 1 species
UAGUACCUUACUACAUGGAUACCUGUGGUAAUUCUAGAGCUAAUACAUGCUAAAAACCCCGACUCACGAAGGGGUGUAUUUAUUAGAUAAAAAACCAACGCCCUUCGGGGCUCCUUGGUGAAUCAUAAUAACUUAACGRAUCGCAUGGCCUUGCGCCGGCGAUGGUUCAUUCAAAUUUCUGCCCUAUCAACUUUCGAUGGUAGGAUAGUGGCCUACCAUGGUGGCAACGGGUAACGGGGAAUUAGGGUUCGAUUCCGGAGAGGGAGCCUKAGAAACGGCUACCACAUCCAAGGAAGGCAGCAGGCGCGCAAAUUACCCAAUCCCGAUACGGGAGGUAGUGACAAUAAAUACUGAUACGGGGCUCUUUUGGGUCUCGUAAUUKGAAUGAGAACAAUUUAAAUCCCUUAACGAGGAACAAUUGGAGGGCAAGUCUGGUGCCAGCAGCCGCGGUAAUUCCAGCUCCAAUAGCGUAUAUUAAAGUUGUUGCAGUUAAAAAGCUCGUAGUUGAACCUUGGGUCURGCUGGCCGSUCCGCCUCACCGCGAGUACUGGUCCGGCUGGACUUUUMCUUCUGGGG